CCGUGUACUAGGUCUAUCUAUCAGUAUAGGCAGGUCAGACACCAGACAGACAGAACCGUGUACUAGGUCUAUCUAUCAGUAUAGGCAGGUCAGACACCAGACAGACAGAACCGUGUACUAGGUCUAUCUAUCAGUAUAGGCAGGUCAGACACCAGACAGACAGAACCGUGUACUAGGUCUAUCUAUCAGUAUAGGCAGGUCAGACACCAGACAGACAGAACCGUGUACUAGGUCUAUCUAUCAGUAUAGGCAGGUCAGACACCAGACAGACAGAACCGUGUACUAGGUCUAUCUAUCAGUAUAGGCAGGUCAGACACCAG